rnacentral:rRNA from 1 species
GAGUUUGAUCAUGGCUCAGAUUGAACGCUGGCGGCAUGCCUAACACAUGCAAGUCGAGGGGCAGCGCGGGUAGCAAUACCUGGCGGCGACCGGCAAACGGGUGCGGAACACGUACGCAACCUUCCCAAAACUGGUGAAUAGGCCUUUUCGAAAGAGAGAUUAAUACACCGUAACAUAACGAGGAGGCAUCUUUUGUUAUUAUAGUAGCAAUACGGUUUUUGGAUGGGGCGUGCGGCUGAUUAGGUAGUUGGUGUGGGGUAACGGCCCACCAAGCCUACGAUCAGUAACUGGUGUGAGAGCACGACCAGUCACACGGGCACUGAGACACGGGCCCGACUCCUACGGGAGGCAGCAGUAAGGAAUAUUGGUCAAUGGACGCAAGUCUGAACCAGCCAUGCCGCGUGAAGGAUGAAGGUCCUCUGGAUUGUAAACUUCUUUUAUCU